rnacentral:rRNA from 1 species
GACGAACGCUGGCGGCGUGGAUAAGGCAUGCAAGUCAAACGGGUCGCGCUUGCGCGAUUAGUGGCGAAUGGGGUAGUAACACGUAGGAAUCUGCCUCAAUCACGGGCAUAACUCUGGGAAACCAGAGCUAAUACCCGAUAGUCCCCCGCCUAUGGCGGGGGUAAAGGUACUCUUUUGAGUUUCCGGAUUGAGAUAAGCCUGCGGGCUAUCAGCUUGUUGGUAAGAUAACAGCUUACCAAGGCUAUGACGGCUAGGGGAGGUGAGAGCCUGACCCCCACCAAUGGCACUGCGACACGGGCCUUACACCUACGGGUGGCUGCAGUCGAGAAUCUUCCACAAUGGGCGAAAGCCUGAUGGAGCGACGCCGCGUGCACGAUGACGCUCUUCGGAGUGUAAAGUGCUUUUAUGUCUGAAGAAGGCAUCUUUUUGGUGUUUGACAUUAAGACAGGAAUAAGGGGUUGCUAAACUCGUGCCAGCAGCAGCGGUAAUACGAGUGCCCCGAGCGUUGUCCGGAAUUACUGGGCGUAAAGAGUGUGUAGGGGGGUGGUUGUUAGUCUUGCUUUAAACACCGAUGCUUAACAUCGGGACUGGGUGAGAUACGGCAAUACUAUGAGGAUGCGAGAGGUUGACGGAACUCUGGAUGUAGGGGUGAAAUCCGUUGAUAUUCAGAGGAACACCGAAAGCGAAGCAGUCAACUGGCGCAUUCCUGACCCUGAGACACGAAAGCGUGGGUAGCGAAAGGGAUUAGAUACCCCUGUAGUCCACGCCCUAAACGAUGUUCUCUGGCUUUUCGAAGUAUCGACCCUUUGAGAGGCGAAGCUAACGCGUUAAGAGAACCGCCUGGGAAGUACGAUCGCAAGAUUAAAACUCAAAGGAAUAGACGGGGACUUGCACAAGCGGUGGAUCAUGCGGUUUAAUUCGACGAUAAACGAAGAACCUCACCAGGGCUUGACAUGCUAGUGAAAGCUCACUGAAAGGAGAGCCUUCUCACAAGGACACUAGCACAGGUGCUGCAUGGCUGUCGUCAGUUCGUGAUUUGAAUUGUUCCCUUAAGUGGGGUAACGAACGCAACCCUUGUCGUCUGUUAUAAGUGUCAGGCGAGACUGCCCCGCUGAGCGGGGAGGAAGGUAAGGAUGACGCCAAGUCAGCAUGGCCCUUUGAUGCCCUGGGCAACACACAUGAUACAAUGGUUGGAACAAUGGGUUUGCCAAGCCGCGAGGUGGAGCUAAUCCCGUCAAAUCCAGCCCCAGUUCGGAUUGGAGUCUGCAACUCGACUCCAUGAAGUCGGAAUCGCUAGUAAUCGCGGGUCAGCUAUACCGCGGUGAAUACGUUCUCAAGUCUUGUACUCACCGCCCGUCAAUGCAAGGGAGUCGGUAGUACCGGAAUCUCGACGUAUGUCGGGACAAGGUAAGAUCGGUAAC